UACCUCAAAAUUCCGCAACAGUCUGUUUCAUCAGUAAAGAAUCAUCAGGCGGUAUCGCCUGAUGAUUCUUUACUGAUGAUACCGCCUGAUGAUUCUUUACUGAUGAAACAGACUGUUGCGGAAUUU